AGAGUUUGAUCCUGGCUCAGAUGAACGCUGGCGGCAGGCCUAACACAUGCAAUGCGAACGGUAGCACAGAGGAGCUUGCUCCUUGGGUGACGAGUGGCGGACGGGUGAGUAAUGUCUGGGAAACUGCCUGAUGGAGGGGGAUAACUACUGGAAACGGUAGCUAAUACCGCAUAACGUCGCAAGACCAAAGAGGGGGACCUUCGGGCCUCUUGCCAUCAGAUGUGCCCAGAUGGGAUUAGCUAGUAGGUGGGGUAAUGGCUCACCUAGGCGACGAUCCCUAGCUGGUCUGAGAGGAUGACCAGCCACACUGGAACUGAGACACGGUCCAGACUCCUACGGGAGGCAGCAGUGGGGAAUAUUGCACAAUGGGCGCAAGCCUGAUGCAGCCAUGCCGCGUGUAUGAAGAAGGCCUUCGGGUUGUAAAGUACUUUCAGCGGGGAGGAAGGCGAUACGGUUAAUAACC
rnacentral:rRNA from 1 species